AAACUCAUCACUCAUUGCUGCCAACAUGAUGCAUCGAACAGUGCUCCGGUCACUGAGCCACUUCUGAUAAGUGUCUCUGGCCGAUCUUGAUGCAUUAGCAGCGGGUUGCUCAGGUGCUUGAUCCGUUAUCACAUAAAGGAUCCUCUCAUGCUCUAGCACUAUUUUCAGUUUUCUAUGCCAACUAUUGAAAUUUGGACCAGUCAACUUGUCAUUGUCCAACAAUGAGCGAAGUG
rnacentral:lncRNA from 1 species